UACGGAGGGGGCUAGCGUUGUUCGGAAUUACUGGGCGUAAAGCGCACGUAGGCGGACUGUUAAGUCUGGGGUGAAAUCCUGGGGCUCAACCUCAGAAUUGCCUCCGAUACUGGCAGUCUCGAGUGCGGGAGAGGUGAGUGGAAUUCCCAGUGUAGAGGUGAAAUUCGUAGAUAUUGGGAAGAACACCAGUGGCGAAGGCGGCUCACUGGCCCGUAACUGACGCUGAGGCGCGAAAGCGUGGGGAGCAAACAGG
rnacentral:rRNA from 1 species